GAGCAGGACGCUAGUCCCCGGGGGGCUCUGCUCCUGCAGGCUAAUGGCCAACACCGAGCUGUAGCCGCAGACGUCCGGCACGGCCGAGCACUCCUGCACGCUGCCCAGUGGGAUGAGAUCCUGCCCCCAGACCCGUCCCUGAGCCUCCAGCGCCUUCAGGUGCGCCAGGCAGUCAUCGGUGCUGCGGAUGUCCCUCUCCAGGCGCACCGUGAGCAGCUGUUGGACCGUCGGAGCAGGGAGCUGUCGUCAUAUUCACUCCUGGAUGGACGGACGGACGGAAGGACAGACCUUUGCACCCUGCAGCGUGAUCCCCUCUCCCCACCCAGCCCUCGGGGGUCCCCGAGGUUUUUAGGCCAAACUGGCCCCACCGCAGAGGGACCCCAGCAUCCUGCACCCCAGAGCAUCACACGGAGCAGGCAGUGACACCCCUUUGGGAGUAUUCGGGGACCGUCGGUGGACAGGUACGAGCAGAACCGAGGGGACGAGGUGUGAGGGGGCGGGCUGGGAAUGGCCCCCCAGGGAAAGAGGAGGGGGUGUAGGGGUUGGGAUCGUGCCUCAGUUUCCCCAUUUCAGGGAGGGGCAGGGUGCAGUCCCCGCCUGCGGCCACCAGGGGGCAGUACGUCAUCACGUCGCCCCGUCUCCAGAUGUGUCACCCCCCCGCCCCCCAGAUGUGAAGCUCCCCCAUAUAUAGGGUCCCAGAUGUGCAGGGUCCCAGAUGUGCCCGGUGCCACCCCAGGUCCUGCUGGCACUGCCGACCCUACCGGGGUGCCUGGCACUGGGGACAUUUGGGUGACACUUCUCGGGGCGGGGGGGGGACACAAGCAGCCGCCUGCUCUGUGGCAUCACCACCUCUGUGGGAGGUUUGGGGUUACAGCCCCCCAAUAGCUCAGCACCCCCUCCCAGUAGAUAUACUGCUGUGGAAGGGAAUUGGGGGGGGGUCCUCUGACAUGGUCCCCCUGUCUGCUCCUCCUCAGGGACCAGGCAUCCUGCCUGGAGGGGGAGGCUUGGGGAGAUGUUUGGGGAGCAAAGUAGGGGGUCUCUUGGGAUAUGGGCCAAAAUGCCCCCCCCCCCCCCCCCCCGAGGGCCCUGUCCGGCUCUGGAGGCAAUUUAAACGGCAUUUGGGAUCCAUUUAGGAUCGCGGGUGCUGGCUGGCUGGAGCGUGCUUGUCCCUGUACCACUCCCCAGUUCACCCAGUACCACCCACCAGCCAGCGCUGGGCCACAUUGGGGUGCAGUGCCACCACAGCACCCCACGGGGAGCCAGUCCACCCAACACCCCUUACUGGGAGCCAUGGGGGUAGGUAACAGGGGUGCCACAGGAUCCCCAGCUCUGCUGGCUCCCCGCACCACCCAGGGCUCUCAGAUGCCUGGGUCCUUCCUGGUGACAGUCCCCAGCACCAGGGUGGCCUCGAAGGCGUGACGAGCUGCGAGGAGGAAGCAAAGUCUCUGCAAUGAGGACAACAAACCCCAUCGGGCACUUGUUAACCGAGGACGCCGGCAGCACCGGCUCAGCCCCAAAUUGUGCACCCUGGGGUGUCCCUGGCCACCCCAAGCUCCCCCUGCACCCAAUCCACAUCCCAAGGGUUGAACCAAGGCACCCCAAUACCCCCUGCCGUAGCCGUGCCGCAAGCUUGGCCAUGCCUCAGUUUCCCCAGCUGCAUCCCACCGCCUCUCCGGGCUUGGCUGCGGUGCAGGGGCUGCGUCAGGCUGGAGGAAUCCGGCUCCUUCCCUGGCUCUUUAUGGCAAUCAUGAGUGUGGGGUGGGCUUGAUCGCCCCCCCCGGCAGCACCCAAGGCAUGGGGAGGACUAUGGCCCAUCCAUAUCCACCUCUUUGCAGGGACAGGGUGCUCACCCCACCUCUUCCCACCUCCUCCCAGUCACCCCACUGGGUAAGCUGGGAAUGGUGCCGGCAGCAGAAAUAUUAUAAAACCCCCAUUUUUAUUUUUUUUCCCCCUCGAUUCCCGGCCAGAUGUGACACCUCCGUGCACAGCCCCAGCCCCACUGUGUCCCCCUUGCCCUUCCCCAGGCUCAGGAAGUCCCCAGGGACCACCAACCCCCUUGGGAAGAGCCAGGAAGGGACUCGGAGGGUUCUCCCACCUCUCCAGCCUGGGGUGACACUGAAGCCAUUUGCCAGUUCAGGUUUAGAAACCUCCAGUGUCAAAAUGUGAUAAAUCAGUGAGUUGACCCCAAAACACAGCUGUUCUGGGGAGGAAAACGCCCCCAUUCUGCACCCCCUUUUCUGCCCUGUAAAGCUCCUGGGUGGGGGAACACCCACACCCACCAAGGGAACAGCCCUGGGGACACAGCCUGAUGCCCCACACCAGCCAUCAGCCACCCACACUGUCCCCAGUGGGGAUGCAGGAUCAGGCCCUACCCCAGGGGCCACACGGGGCCGGUGCAGAUUUUGGGGUACCCAGGCAGAGGGGCACCACAGAGCCACUGGUUCCUGGAAUUACCGGUGACACAUCGCUCCCGGCCAGGUGCCACUGGGGCCACGGUCCCGGAAAACAGCUGUGGCUCCGGCUGCUGGGUGCCGGCCAGCGGCACAAACCACCGGCCAGCCUGGAUCCGUCCCCACGUCACCGAGGCGAAGUGUGGGGUGGACCGCGGUGUACCCGGACCUGCCACCUAAUUGCUGGGGACCAGCAGCUCCCCGUCAUUUUGGGGAUGCAUGGGGACUGUUUAACCCCUUGGGGGCUGGGAAACUGUGUCGGAUUGUUCUCCCUGGGCCUGAGGAAUGGCACGGCACGGCACAGCCCCCAGGGUCGAGAUGUGCCUCUGGCGAUGCCCAAAACCACAAGUCCUUCUGCCCUCCACGGGGUCUCCUUGGCGGUGACGGUGACAAGCUGAUGUCCCGACUGUCAUGGCAGCUGGGCUCGGAUGCUAUUUUGGGGUGAUGUGGCGGAAGAGACAGAGGGAUGGUCAGCGAUGCCCCUCUGUCACCCUGCCUCCCUGCACCCUGCUUGGUCUGUCCCUGGUCCAUGGUCACCCUGGCACACUGUGCCCCAUCCCUGCCCGUGGUUUUAGACCCCUCUCCACCGAACGAGUGGGGCUGGGGCCGGACCCAGAGCAGGGGGAGUCCCAGGUGGGUGCCCGGCCACGGCAGUGCCCGGGGGAUGCUCCUGCAGGCGCUGGACAUGGGUCGCAUCCUGCCAAGGGACUUAGGCAACCGCCUGGCAGGGCCACCGCAGGAGGGCAUCAGGGAGCCGGUGCCGCGCUGAGAGCCACCUCUGGGUGCCCGUCACCCUGCUGUGUCCCUGUCACCCUGCUGUGUCCCUUUGCCGUGGGGGCUCGCUGGGGGCUGCGUCUCCCUCUCUGCCAUCCCGAGAGAUCCCGGCUCAGGGCCACCACCGAACCCCUUGCUUCCCCAGGAACAUCCUCGGGGACACCCCAAGGGAGAAGCCCCUUGGGGUCCCAGCCCCGAGCCUGGGACCAUGAGCUUUGUGGCCAUGGGGCAUCCUGGCCCUCAUUGCUCUGGCUUAUCCUGGUUUUACCCACGUGCCACUGAAUCCCAUCUCUUAGAGGAAUGGGAAGAAAUCUCUGGGGCUUUUCUAGCCCAUUGCCUUUCCAAAAUCCCUCCAGUGACCUCCUCU